GCGAGUGUGCUGGAAUUGGUAUACAGGGCAGUCUCAAAAAUUGCUGUUCGCAAGGACAUAUGAGUUCAAGUCUCAUCACUCGCA
rnacentral:tRNA from 1 species